CCUACGGGAGGCAGCAGUGGGGAAUAUUGGACAAUGGGGGGAACACUGAUCCAGCGACGCCGCGUGAGUGAAGAAGUAUUUCGGUAUGUAAAGCUCUAUCAGCAGGGAAGAAAGAAAUGACGGUACCUGACUAAGAAGCCCCGGCUAACUACGUGCCAGCAGCCGCGGUAAUACGUAGGGGGCAAGCGUUAUCCGGAUUUACUGGGUGUAAAGGGAGCGUAGACGGCGAGGCAAGUCUGAAGUGAAAGGCGGGGGCCCAACCCCCGGACUGCUUGGGAAACUGUAUGGCUGGAGUGCAGGAGAGGUAAGUGGAAUUCCUAGUGUAGCGGUGAAAUGCGUAGAGAUUAGGAGGAACACCAGUGGCGAAGGCGGCUUACUGGACUGUAACUGACGUUGAGGCUCGAAAGCGUGGGGAGCAAACAGGAUUAGAUACCCUAGUAGUC
rnacentral:rRNA from 1 species